rnacentral:rRNA from 1 species
UUAAAUUGAAGAGUUUGAUCAUGGCUCAGAUUGAACGCUGGCGGCAGGCCUAACACAUGCAAGUCGAGCGGAAACGAGUUAUCAGAACCUUCGGGGGA